rnacentral:rRNA from 1 species
UACGAAGGGGGCUAGCGUUAUUCGGAAUUACUGGGCGUAAAGCGCACGUAGGCGGACAUUUAAGUCAGGGGUGAAAUCCCAGAGCUCAACUCUGGAACUGCCUUUGAUACUGGAUGUCUGGAGUAUGGAAGAGGUGAGUGGAAUUCCGAGUGUAGAGGUGAAAUUCGUAGAUAUUCGGAGGAACACCAGUGGCGAAGGCGGCUCACUGGUCCAUUACUGACGCUGAUGUGCGAAAGCGUGGGGAGCAAACAGG